rnacentral:rRNA from 1 species
UGGGGAAUUUUGCACAAUGGGGGAAACCCUGAUGCAGCGACGCCGCGUGAUUUAGAAGGCCUUCGGGUUGUAAAAAUCUUUUCUAUGGGAAGAAAAUGACAGUACCAUAGGAAUAAGGACCGGCUAAUUACGUGCCAGCAGCCGCGGUAAUACGUAAGGUCCGAGCGUUGUCCGGAAUCAUUGGGCGUAAAGGGUACGUAGGCGGGUAAGCAAGUUAGAAGUGAAAUCCUAUAGCUCAACUAAAGUAAGCUUUUAAAACUGCUCAUCUUGAGGUAUGGAAGGAAAAGUGGAAUUCCUAGUGUAGCGGUGAAAUGCGCAGAUAGUAGGAGGAAUACCGGUGGCGAAGGCGACUUUCUGGCCAUAACCUGACGCUGAGGUACGAAAGCGUGGGUAGCAAACAGG